GAGGCUCCCUUGGCAGUUAACACGGUGGGAUCACAGGAUUCAGAUGGUGGACUAAAAUCAGCAACAUACAUAUUCGAGACUCCUCCUCCUAAGUCCUAACCCUAAUCAUCCUCUUCCGCACCUUCGCCUUCUUACCCCUCCUUCCUCUCUCAGCUUCCUUCUUUCUACGAGGGAGAGUGUCGCUAGCAUUCCUCCUUAAGCGUUUAUGUUUAAUGUUUCUUUGUGACUUGGUGUUUGGUUUCUGUGAUGGCAGAUACUCGGAGAGUUUGCAUGCAUUUCUGUGUUUUGGAGGAAUGUAUCACUUCGUGUCUGGUGGAAAUGUGCGAGGUCUAAUGGCGUGCUGAAUGCUGGCUACUUCUGUUUUCAGACUAUGGCAUCGGGCUUAUCAUGCUGUGUUUCACAAAAAGCGUGUUGCUUUGGCUUUGCAGAUUGUUAUUGUUGGAGCUUUACGUACUGCAUUUAUUUUUGCUCCAUUUGUAGCUUUCCAGACUUAUGGCUAUUACAAUAUGUGUGUUGAGCGUUCCCCUGAUGAAAUAAGGCCCUGGUGCAAGGCAAGAAUACCGUUACUUCACAAUUACAUCCAAAGUCAUUAUUGGGGUGUAGGUUUCUUGAGAUAUUUUCAGCUGAAACAGUUGCUAAACUUUCUACUUGCAUCUCCAAUACUGUCUCUGGCACUUCGCUCAGAGUUGUCCAUUAUGCUAAGUCAAGGCCUCAGAACUUUUUCUCUCUGGGUUUUUUAACUCCUAUGGAAGAAGAGAGCCGUGGAGUUGUGUUUUUAUCAGAUGAACUCUCAAGGUCCAAAGAAGCUGGAAGUGUGGAAAAAUCCUCUGUUUGAUUAGAAGAACACUCCAAUCUUAGGAGGAGAAAGAAUGUGAGCAAGGGAGACAUUGCUAAUGUUCCCAUGGAAUCUGAGCCAGCAGCAAUUUGGCCGGGAUACUUGUCUGCUUCUGUUCUCCCAUUCGUGCUACACUUGGGAUUCAUGGUAUGCACUGCUUUUUUUGUCAUGCGUGUACAGGUGUCAACUCGUUUCUUGUCUGCCAGCCCUCCUCUUUAUUGGUUUGCUUCAUAUAUAAUGGCGAAUCUUUAUUGGUUUGCUUCAUAUAUAAUGGCGAAUCCUGCAAAAUACUUUAGAUGGGGAUACGUGAUAUGGGCAUACUCUAUGGCAUACAUUUUUCUUGGCAGUCUGCUGUUUUCAAACUUCUACCCUUUCACCUACCGAGAAGAAAGCAUUCAAAUCCAGUCACAGUGACGAAACGACACGAAUUGAAGACAAAAGAGUCAAACAUAAAUGAUAGAUACAUAGAUUUUUUCAUUCAGAGUUUAGUCAAAUGCUU